UGUCUUCUUCAUUUUGUGGGUGCCGAAUACUCCAUAACUCACAACACCAAGCUUUAUUCUUUGAUUUUCUCUCAAAAAUUUCUUCACGAAAAUUGUCGGGAAUAUUGUGUAGAUCGUUAAGGUGUAUUUGCAUGUUCGUUUGAGAUCCAGCGAGUUUUGUCGCGGAAACCGGCGAGCAAAGGUUUUGAAUAUUCGACGGGUGAUAUUUUUAUAUUUGGAAUAAGCGAGUACUUGCUGUGUGAUCACCGGUAUUGCAUUUAGAAUGGGUUGCAUGUGAAAAUGGUAUGUGGAAAUCUGGACGACGGUCUGGAAGUCAGGCGACGGCCUAGACAUAUGGAAACAGAUCUUCAGAGGCAACGGAAUACAGACGACCAAAGGCAGUUAGCGAAACUGCCGAGAUCUGAGAGGUUGAACCUUUUAUUAAAAAAAGUGAAAUUGGCGACAGUAUUUAUGUACUGCCGAAAUCCGUUGUAUUGUAAGAAGAGUCUGGGACUUUCAAAUACGUAAAAUAAGAGUAAUCGGAUUUGACUGGCUAAAAGUACAAAAAGAGAAAAUAAAUACGGCCAAAGGAAAAUAAAAGGUUAACCCGAAUGGAAUGGAAAAAAAAGUGGAAUAUUUAUGUUUCCUGUUUUGAAAGCAUAUAGGAACAUGAUUCAUGGUUUAGGGUUUCAUAUGAAUCGGUAAUCUGGAAUGCAUUGCUUUCAUAUUAAUGUUUAUUAGUACAUGUUGUACGCAUUCACCAGUUUUUAUAACUGACCCCGUUGAAUUUAUAAUUUUUACAGGCGAGUAGUUUGACGUGUGGAUUUCCAAUUUCUUGUUCCGGAAAUCCCUGGCUUGAACAAAGUGAGAAUGACUUUCCUUUAUGUGUCUAGAGUUGCAGUAGCUAGAAUAAAUGAACGGUGAUACCUUAGUAGUCGUUGGACUUAUUUAUGCUUUAUAUUUUAUUAUAACGCUUAAACUCUGAUAUUGUGUAAUAUGGGAAUGCUGUGCGAAAGUCCGAGCGACUGCACUUGAAUAAAAUGCGACGAACGCAUCUGCAUAGUGAAAUGCAGUUAAGUACAUAGAGAAAUGGCCUGCAUAGUGAAAUGCAGUAAUUACCAUAGUAA